UACGUAGGGUGCGAGCGUUGUCCGGAAUUAUUGGGCGUAAAGGGCUCGUAGGCGGUUUGUCGCGUCGGGAGUGAAAACCCAGGGCUUAACUCUGGGCUUGCUUUCGAUACGGGCAGACUAGAGGUAUGCAGGGGAGAACGGAAUUCCUGGUGUAGCGGUGGAAUGCGCAGAUAUCAGGAGGAACACCGGUGGCGAAGGCGGUUCUCUGGGCAUUACCUGACGCUGAGGAGCGAAAGUGUGGGGAGCGAACAGG
rnacentral:rRNA from 1 species